rnacentral:tRNA from 1 species
GCUUCCGUGGCGCAAUUGGCUAGCGCGUUCGACUGUUAAUCGAGAGGUUGACAGUUCAAUCCUGUCCGGAAGCG